GGAAUAUUGGACAAUGGGCGCAAGCCUGAUCCAGCCAUGCCGCGUGAGUGAUGAAGGCCUUAGGGUUGUAAAGCUCUUUCACCGGAGAAGAUAAUGACGGUAUCCGGAGAAGAAGCCCCGGCUAACUUCGUGCCAGCAGCCGCGGUAAUACGAAGGGGGCUAGCGUUGUUCGGAAUUACUGGGCGUAAAGCGCACGUAGGCGGAUAUUUAAGUCAGGGGUGAAAUCCCAGAGCUCAACUCUGGAACUGCCUUUGAUACUGGGUAUCUUGAGUAUGGAAGAGGUAAGUGGAAUUGCGAGUGUAGAGGUGAAAUUCGUAGAUAUUCGCAGGAACACCAGUGGCGAAGGCGGCUUACUGGUCCAUUACUGACGCUGAGGUGCGAAAGCGUGGGGAGCAAACAGGAUUAGAUACCCCUG
rnacentral:rRNA from 1 species